rnacentral:snRNA from 1 species
AUCGCUUCUCGGCCUUUUGGCUAAGAUCAAAGUGUAGUAUCUGUUCUUAUCAGCUUAAUCUGACGUUUUAUUUUGUUUUUAUGUUUUAGAUGUGCAGACCAUGCUGAUGGAGUAGUUUACUCGUCUGGUGGACGGAGCUGAAAGCGGAGCCGAGGUGGACCCUAC